GACGAACGCUGGCGGCGUGCUUAACACAUGCAAGUCGAGCGGAAAGGCCCUUCGGGGUACUCGAGCGGCGAACGGGUGAGUAACACGUGAGUAACCUGCCCCAGACUUUGGGAUAACCCUCGGAAACGGGGGCUAAUACCGGAUACGACACAGCUUCGCAUGGGGUCUGUGUGGAAAGUUUUUCGGUUUGGGAUGGGCUCGCGGCCUAUCAGCUUGUUGGUGGGGUGAUGGCCUACCAAGGCGACGACGGGUAGCCGGCCUGAGAGGGCGACCGGCCACACUGGGACUGAGACACGGCCCAGACUCCUACGGGAGGCAGCAGUGGGGAAUAUUGCACAAUGGGCGGAAGCCUGAUGCAGCGACGCCGCGUGAGGGAUGACGGCCUGCGGGUUGUAAACCUCUUUCAGCAGGGACGAAGCGUAAGUGACGGUACCUGCAGAAGAAGCGCCGGCCAACUACGUG
rnacentral:rRNA from 1 species